UUCCCAAGAGAAAAAUCUCUCGCGAACA
rnacentral:sRNA from 1 species